rnacentral:rRNA from 1 species
ACAUGCAGUCGAGCGGGGAGAGUGCUUUCGGGUGCUCUUCUAGCGGCGGACGGGUGAGUAACGCGUGAGCAAUCUGUCCCAGACAGGGGGAUAACAGAUGGAAACAUCUGCUAAUACCGCAUAAGACCACGAGGUCACAUGGCCUCGAGGUAAAAGGAGAAAUCCGGUUUGGGGUGAGCUCGCGUCCGAUUAGCCAGUUGGCGGGGUAACGGCCCACCAAAGCAACGAUCGGUAGCCGGCCUGAGAGGGCGAUCGGCCACACUGGAACUGAGAGACGGUCCAGACUCCUACGGGAGGCAGCAGUGGGGAAUAUUGGGCAAUGGGCGAAAGCCUGACCCAGCAACGCCGCGUGAGGGAAGAAGGUUUUCGGAUUGUAAACCUCUGUCCUUGGUGACGAAAAAAAUGACGGUAGCCAAGGAGGAAGCCCCGGCUAACUACGUGCCAGCAGCCGCGGUAAUACGUAGGGGGCAAGCGUUGUCCGGAAUGACUGGGCGUAAAGGGCGUGUAGGCGGCCGAUUAAGUCUGGAGUGAAAGUCCUGCUUUCAAGGUGGGAAUUGCUUUGGAGACUGGUUGGCUUGAGUGCGGAAGAGGUAAGUGGAAUUCCCAGUGUAGCGGUGAAAUGCGUAGAGAUUGGGAGGAACACCAGUGGCGAAGGCGACUUACUGGGCCGUAACUGACGCUGAGGCGCGAAAGCGUGGGGAGCGAACAGGAUUAGAUACCCUGGUAGUCCACGCGGUAAACGAUGAAUGCUAGGUGUAGCGGGUAUCGACCCCUGCUGUGCCGCAGUAAACACAAUAAGCAUUCCGCCUGGGGAGUACGGCCGCAAGGUUGAAACUCAAAGGAAUUGACGGGGGCCCGCACAAGCAGCGGAGCAUGUCGUUUAAUUCGAUGCAACGCGAAGAACCUUACCAGGUCUUGACAUCCAACUAAACUCAUGGAGACAUGAGGUCCCUUCGGGGGGAGUUGAGACAGGUGGUGCAUGGUUGUCGUCAGCUCGUGUCGUGAGAUGUUUGGGUUAAGUCCCGC